GACGGACGCUGGCGGCGUGCUUAACACAUGCAAGUCGAACGGAAAGGCCCCAGUUUGCUGGGGUACUCGAGUGGCGAACGUGUGAGUAACACGUGGGUGAUCUGCCCUGCACUCUGGGAUAAGCCUGGGAAACUGGUUCUAAUACCUGCUAGGACCGUGCUUUAGUGUGUGCGGUGGAAAGUUUUGCGGUGCAGGAUGAGCGCGCGGCCUAUCAGCUUGUUGGUGGGGUAAUGGCCUACCAAGGCGGCGACGGGUAGUCGUCCUGGGAGGGUGUACGGCCACAAUGGGACUGAGAGACGGCCCAGAGUGCUACGGGAGGCAGCAGUGGGGAAUAUUGCACAAUGGGGGCAAGCCUGAUGCAGCGACGCCGCGUGGGGGAUGAAGGCCUUCGGGUUGUAAACCCCUGUCGGCAGGGACGAAGCUUUUGUGACGGUACCUGCAUAAGAAGCACCGGCUAACUACGUG
rnacentral:rRNA from 1 species